rnacentral:rRNA from 1 species
GGUUAAGCGACUAAGCGUACACGGUGGAUGCCCUGGCAGUCAGAGGCGAUGAAGGRCGUGCUAAUCUGCGAUAAGCGCCGGUAAGGUGAUAUGAACCGUUAUAACCGGCGAUWYCCGAAUGGGGAAACCCAGUGUGACUCGUCACACUAUCAUUAACUGAAUCCAUAGGUUAAUGAGGCGAACCGGGGGAACUGAAACAUCUAAGUACCCCGAGGAAAAGAAAUCAACCGAGAUUCCCCCAGUAGCGGCGAGCGAACGGGGAGGAGCCCAGAGCCUGAAUCAGCAUGUGUGUUAGUGGAAGCGUCUGGAAAGGCGCGCGAUACAGGGUGACAGCCCCGUACACAAAAGCACAAAAG